rnacentral:tRNA from 1 species
AAGAGAGACUGACCCAGUAAAAACUGCUAACUUUGCCUGUUGAAGUUAAACUCUUCAACUCUCUUU